GAAAUGCGAUAAGUAAUGUGAAUUGCAGAAUUCAGUGAGUCAUCGAAUCUUUGAACGCACCUUGCGCUUCUUGGUAUUCCUUGGAGCAUGCCUGUUUGAGUAUCAUGAAAUCUUCAAAGUAAAUCUUUUGUUAACUCAAUUGGUUUCUACUUUGGUAUUGGAGGUCUUUGCAGCUUCACACCUGCUCCUCUUUGUUCAUUAGCUGGAUCUCAGUGUUAUGCUUGGUUCCACUCGGCGUGAUAAGUUAUCUAUCGCUGAGGACACUGUAAAAGGUGGCCAAGGUAAAUGCAGAUGAACCGCUUCUAAUAGUCCAUUGACUUGGACAAUACUUUUAUGAUCUGAUCUCAAAUCAGGUAGGACUACCCGCUGAACUUAAGC
rnacentral:misc_RNA from 1 species